rnacentral:rRNA from 1 species
AUUGAACGCUGGCGGCAGGCCUAACACAUGCAAGUCGAGCGGAUGACGGGAGCUUGCUCCCUGAUUUAGCGGCGGACGGGUGAGUAAUGCCUAGGAAUCUGCCUGGUAGUGGGGGAUAACGUUCCGAAAGGAACGCUAAUACCGCAUACGUCCUACGGGAGAAAGCAGGGGACCUUCGGGCCUUGCGCUAUCAGAUGAGCCUAGGUCGGAUUAGCUAGUUGGCGAGGUAAUGGCUCACCAAGGCGACGAUCCGUAACUGGUCUGAGAGGAUGAUCAGUCACUCUGGAACUGAGACACGGUCCAGACUCCUACGGGAGGCAGCAGUGGGGAAUAUUGGACAAUGGGCGAAAGCCUGAUCCAGCCAUGCCGGGUGUGUGAAGAAGGUCUUCGGAUUGUAAAGCACUUUAAGUUGGGAGGAAGGGCAGUAAGUUAAUACCUUGCUGUUUUGACGUUACCGACAGAAUAAGCACCGGCUAACUUCGUGCCAGCAGCCGCGGUAAAAC